rnacentral:rRNA from 1 species
GCAAGUCGAGCGCACCCCUCCGGGGGCGAGCGGCGGACGGGUUAGUAACGCGUGGGAACAUACCCUUUUCUACGGAAUAGCCUCGGGAAACUGAGAGUAAUACCGUAUAAGCCCUUCGGGGGAAAGAUUUAUCGGGAAAGGAUUGGCCCGCGUUAGAUUAGAUAGUUGGUGGGGUAACGGCCUACCAAGUCUACGAUCUAUAGCUGGUUUUAGAGGAUGAUC